GGAUGUGAGAGCAUUCUAGCUGUGAUGUCUGUCACCCCACUAUCUCUAGGGUUGAGUUGGCUUAUCUGACUAGCCAGGAUAGGGAUCCUUUUCCUCCCUCAUUACUUCAUGUGAGUCCCUCCUGAAGCUGCCUGUUCAGUCAAAUAGAGAUGGGCUGGUCUUCAGUCAAGGGUAAAAGUAGCUUUGCUCCCCUGUUAGAACCUCCAAACAAUCUCUCAAAUAGGCUAUGUGUGUUGGAGAAUGGAAUUGGAUGGGCUUGGGAAUGAAGUGAGAAUUGGGUAGCCAAGGUCAGGUUGUGGAAGUUUCAACC
rfam:Erinaceus europaeus unplaced genomic scaffold scaffold00634, whole genome shotgun sequence